GGCCCGCCCUCCACCGAGUUCCGGCCACAGAGCGGGCCCUGCCCGGCGGUGUGCGGCCACAUCUUCCUUCAGCUCUAGCUUAGCUGCUACAUUGGGAAGCCACUAAAACCUUUAAAACCAGCAAAAACCCAGCCACAAACAUUUGAAAUGAGGCCCAAGCCUGGGACACAGGGGGACCAGGUGGAACAUUCGCCCACUCCCUGGGACCCGCCCUUACCCUGUGGUUCUCAGUGUGGCUCCUGGACCAGCCGCAGCACCAUCACAGGGACACCUAGACAUGCAGCAUCCCGGGCCACACCCCAGACCCACUGAGUCAGGAGCUCCCGGGCGCACCCAGCCACGUCUGGGUUUUCAUCAGAGCUAAGGAGGCAGAAUUUUGGCCCCCGUGACCUUUUCCCCUUGGUGCUACACCCUUGAAUAUGUUACAUGGCAAAAAGGGACUUUGCAGAUAUAAUUAAAGUUCUUAAUCAGUUACCCUUUUUUAAGGAAAGGAGUUUAUUCAAGAUUAUCCCCUAAAAACAGAAGUCAGAGAAACGUGUAAGUCCAAGUCAUUGAGAUGAGACGCAGGAAGAGGGUUCAGAGUUCGCUGCCGGCUCCGAACGUGGAGGGGCCUGAAGCCAAGGAGCCUGGGCAGCCCUGACAGCCACUCCUGGCCAGCAGCCGGCAAAGAAACAGGGUCCUCACUCCUGCCAAGAACUUGAAUGAGACUGGAAGCAAAUUCUCCCCUAACAGCCUCUGGACAAGGGCCCAGGCUGGCCAACAUCUUUCUUUCUACCUUUUGAGACCCAGAGCAGAGAAACCGAUAGGACCCACCCAGACUUCCCACCUACACAACUGCGAUGACACGGGUGCUGGUGGUGACUCAUCAAGGCAGCAACAGAAAAUGGACACAGCCGUGUUUCAUCAGCUACAUGCUAUAGCUUGUUACUGACCACCUGCAGUGGAGCUGCCACCAAAAUGCAGAUUUUUGUGAAAACCCUCACAGGGAAGACCAUCACCCUCAAGGUUGAACCCUCAGAUACGAUAGAAAAUAUAAAGGCCAAGACCCAGGAUAAGGAAAGAAUUCCUCCUGAUCAGUAAAGACUGAUCUUUGCUAGCAAGCAACUGGAGGAUGGAUGUGCUUUGUCUGACUACAACAUUCAAAAGGAGUCUACUCUUCAUCUUGUGUUGAGACUUCGUGGUGGUGCUAAGAAAAGGAAGAAGUCUUACACCACUCCCAAGAAGAAUAAGCACAAGAGGAAGAAGAUUAAGCUGGCUGUCCUGAAAUACUAUAAGGUAGACGAGAAUGGCAAAAUUAGUCACCUUCAUCGAGAGUGCCCUUCUGAUGAAUGUGGUGCUGGAGUGUUUAUGGCAAGCCACUAUGACAGACAUUAUUGUGGCAAAUGUUGUCUGACUUACUGCUUCAACAAACCAGAAGACAAGGAACUGUAUGAGUUAAUAAAAGACAUGAACUAACAAACAAAACAAAACAAACAAACAAACAAAAUCAUUUCCUUUUGCGUUUCCUCCUGCCUCAGCCUCCCAAGUAGCUGGGACUACAGGUGCACACCACCACGCCCAGCUAAUUUUUCUAUUUUUGGUAGAAACGGGGUCUCACCAUGUUGGUCAGGCUGGUCUUGAACUCCUGACCUCAGGUGAUCCACCCACCGUGGCCUCCCAAAGUGCUGGGAUUACAGGUGUGAGCCACCGUGCCUGGCCAACUUUAAACUUUCUA
rnacentral:lncRNA from 1 species